rnacentral:rRNA from 1 species
AUUGAACACUGGCGGCAUGCUUUACACAUGCAAGUCGAACGGUAACAGGGAGCUUGCUCCGCUGACGAGUGGCGAACGGGUGAGUAAUGCAUCGGAACGUACCCAGUCGUGGGGGAUAACGUAGCGAAAGUUACGCUAAUACCGCAUACGUCCUGAGGGAGAAAGCGGGGGACCGUAAGGCCUCGCGCGAUUGGAGCGGCCGAUGUCGGAUUAGCUAGUUGGUAGGGUAAAGGCCUACCAAGGCGACGAUCCGUAGCGGGUCUGAGAGGAUGAUCCGCCACACUGGGACUGAGACACGGCCCAGACUCCUACGGGAGGCAGCAGUGGGAUUUGGACAAUGGGCGAAAGCCUGAUCCAGCCAUGCCGCGUGAGUGAAGAAGGCUUCGGUGUAAGCGUCUUCUA